rnacentral:rRNA from 1 species
AGUAACGGCGAGUGAAGCGGCAACAGCUCAAAUUUGAAAUCUGGCCCCUAGGGCCCGAGUUGUAAUUUGCAGAGGAUGCUUUUGGCGAGGUGCCUUCCGAGUUCCCUGGAACGGGACGCCAUAGAGGGUGAGAGCCCCGUCUGGUUGGAUGCCGAGCCUCUGUAAAGCUCCUUCGACGAGUCGAGUUGUUUGGGA